GAGGGUAGAGCUCAGUGGUAGAGCACACGCUUAGCAGGUACAAAGUCCUGGGUUCAACCCCCAGUACCUCCA
rnacentral:tRNA from 1 species